rnacentral:tRNA from 1 species
AAGAUACUAGUAAAACUAGACAUUACACUGCCUUGUCGAGGCAGAAUUGCAGGUUAGACCCCUGCGUAUCUUA